rnacentral:rRNA from 1 species
UACGUAGGUGGCAAGCGUUGUCCGGAAUUAUUGGGCGUAAAGCGUGCGUAGGCGGUUCGUUAAGUUCGUUGUGAAAGCCCCGGGCUCAACCUGGGAACUGCAAUGGAAACUGGCGGGCUUGAGUGUGGCAGAGGGGGGUGGAAUUCCGCGUGUAGCAGUGAAAUGCGUAGAGAUGCGGAGGAACACCGAUGGCGAAGGCAAUCCCCUGGGCCUGCACUGACGCUCAUGCACGAAAGCGUGGGGAGCAAACAGG